UCCACGCAGUAAACGAUGAAUACUAACUGUAUGCGAUAUACUGUAUGCGGUACAGCGAAAGCGUUAAGUAUUCCACCUGGGGAGUACGUUCGCAAGAAUGAAACUCAAAGGAAUUGACGGGGGCCCGCACAAGCGGAGGAACAUGUGGUUUAAUUCGAUGAUACGCGAGGAACCUUACCCGGGCUUGAAAUGCAGAAGACCGACGAAGAAAUUCGUUUUCCAGCAAUGGCUUCUGUGUAGGUGCUGCAUGGUU
rnacentral:rRNA from 1 species